rnacentral:lncRNA from 1 species
GUUCUAGGAGACUUUUAAUCUCCGCGUUUACAAGGAUACAACUUAUACCAGGAUCUCUAUGGAUAAAGUAUGCUCACGAACUGCUAGAGGCAUACGGAGGAAUGACAUCUAUUUCACACUGAGGCAGACUGGUGUGGGACUGCUCCUGGGAGUUAUGAUGUUUCAUCUGUGUUUCAUUUUGUGAAUGGACAUUCCAUGCAGAAAGGGAACUGAAAAGAGUCAGAAAGAUAAACAAGUACCUCUACAAAAGAAGAUCAAACAAUGGAAUACAAGCUUUAUAAUUUUAAACAUAAUUUAUGGAGUGCAAUAGAAGUCUUCCAGGCAUAACUUGAUCAAGGAAGAAAUAGUCAC